GCUGUCUGAGAAGACAGAAAACACAUUAUUUACAUAAGAUACAGUUCUGGGUUUGACUUGCCUUUGCUUGUCCAGUAAUGUUUCACGAGCAAGUGGAUUACCAUACACAUUUUCUCUCUCCAAAGACAAGUGACCUGAUAUUGGGCUAACCUCUCGGGUCCCAUGUCAGGAGAAUGAGACAAGAUUCAAAGUCAUGAGAGAACUCACUGCAUUUGCUUCCUGAGCUUCUGCUACCCCAGUCUAAGAUGAAGUUUUCACACUAAAUUAAACCUGACUGUGAAAACUGACAACCCCUGAUACACAAAAAUGUGCCAGGGAUACAAGUUCUACUUAUUGACCCUUCCGAGGAAAAUGUCCAAAGUCCAGAGAUGAUAUUCCAUUUAUUUAGCUACACAUCUCGAAAGAUAUAUCCAAGCCCUAUCAAGAAGAAUUGAAGUCAACUGUAACUAUUUACUACAGAAAUAUAUUAUUCCAACAUAGUUCAGUUGUAAUUUCACAUGUCACACACCAGUAGAUUAUAAUAAAUCCAUGCUACAAGCCAGUGUUUAAUGCA